CUGUGGUCACUGUGUGGUUUCAGUAGGAGGGUUCACUGAGAAGGCAGCCUGUGCUCAUGGAGAUGGUGUCUCAGAGAUGAUGGCAGAGGGAGAUAAUCGCAGCACCUACCUGCUGGCUUCAGAAACUGCAAGUCUGGAAGAACAGCUUCAAGGAUGGGGAGAAGUGAUGCUGAUGGCUGAUGACUAAAGAGCCUGGUUUCAACCUGCCAUCACAGGUGUGAUUUCUUCAGUGUUUCUGAUUUUCUACUGUCUAGAUCUAUCUGUUAUGUCCGCUGUUUCCUGUUUUGUUAUGUUUUUGUACUUGGCUGACUACCUUGUUCCCAUUCUGGCGCCUAGAAGUUUGGGCUCCAAUAAAUGGACAGCUGAGCAACAGCAAAGAUUCCAUGAAAUUUGCGGCAAUCUAGUAAAAACUCAACCCAGAGCUGUGGGUUGGUGGAAACGCCUCUUCACACUAGAGAAAGGAAAACCUAAGAUGUCCUUCACAACCAUGAUCAUUUCCCUUGCUGCGGUUGCUUGGGUGGGACAGCAAGUCUACAACCUGCUUCUCACCUAUCUGAUGAUGACUUCCUUACUGUUGCUUCCUGGACUAUACCAACCUGGAGUCCUUACAUUGAAUGGCCAAAAGGAAGAUGAACAAAAUUCUCAAACAAAAAGAAAAAAAUGAAUAAUUCAUCUGCUUUAUUGUGUGAUUAAUGAAACACCCAUUGACCCUACCAACGGUGUCUGCUAUACUAUCUGGAUACUAAAACAUUACAGGUGUAGCUCUUUACUCUCCCUCACUCUGCCCUUAGUUAGUAGAAACUCAGACUCGCCAAGUAAGUCUUUGUGCAUAGACUCUUCAUGUCACAUAUAGUUGAGUGCAUUCUUAGCAGUUGGCUAAUGAACAACUCAUUAGCGUGUAGGCCUUGUUUUGAUUUUUCUUAGCCAGGGUUAAUUGAAUUCUUGCUUUUAGACAAUUUCUUUUUAUAGUGGUGAACCUUGCCCUUUAGAACAGUUCAAAUGACUUUAGAUAAUUGUUCAGGUUCCUCUGCUUUAUCUAGAUACAAGGUAGUGGUCUGUAGCUACAGGAAGCUGGUUCUACUCUCUGCUUUUACAGUCUGCUUAAAAAACUAUCAGACUUCAUGAUUAUAGAGACCAAGUUUACCACUUCUGAUGAAGAGACCAAUGAAGAUUCAUUCCUCAUUCUGUUUCUUUCCCGUGGAAGAAGAAUCUCCAUGGAAUAAAAUGAAACUGAUUCCAUGUGCUAGUAUGUGUAGGUUUCUCCCUUUUGUGAAGUUUAGCAAUUUGUAGGAAACUUUGAUCUUUUUGUCCAAAAAAAAGAAUGUCUGACAGGCUUAAGCUUUUGUCCCUUUACACUUAGACUUGAAGUUAGUAAAUCCUUAGUCUUUUUAAUGGCAGACUUCCAAAAGAUUGCAUUUAGGAUUUCUAGCAUACUUUUAAUUUCAGGUUUCCAGUUGACUUUAGCUAUAGUAUUCAGUACAUUAAGAUGCCUGUCUAUCCUUUACUCUAAGACCAGCAGUAAAGGACAGCAGUCUUCCAUGUUUAGUCAAGAUUCAUUUCAGUAGAAGAUAAUCUUAUCUGACUAAUUUUUGAGACCAGAAUAAGCCUUUUAAUGUAAACCUCAAAAUUCUCAUUUUGUGGUAAUACUGGCCAUUUUAGUUCCCUAGGUUUGACAUGGGAGAUAGUGACUACCCUAUUGUCUGACUUUUUUCUUAGAGAUUUCUCCCUGAAAAUACAAGAGCUAUUGGUGAGAGCAGACUUGAGGUGAUGAUAGUUGGCCUCUGGUCUACAAAGAUUUUGUUAACUCCUUGGAAAGCUUUUUAUAAUCAUUCGUAACUUCUCGAUAGCUAGAAAUUUAGAGUAGUUGAAAUCUGUAGGAAUGAAUGUCUGAGGGCCAAAACUGUGAAUGACUUGGGAACAAUUCUUAAAUGGAUUAACAAGCACUAAUUUAAUUUUGUGAAUUUAUUGCACUGAUGUUGUAUCUUAUGAUAUAUCUGUCCCUAUAAAGUAAGUGUUGCUUUCUCCUUUUUAAUACUCCUGUAGACAGU